rnacentral:miRNA from 1 species
UCCCAUGACCGGAAGGAAAUCCUUCCGGUCAAUGAGAUUGUUAUACCUCAUCGAUUGGAAGGGAUGCCUUCCGGUCGAUGAGGUAUAACAUCCUCAUUGACGGAAGGAAUCCCUUCCGAUCGAUGAGGUAUAACAAUCUCAUUGACCGGAAGGGAUUCCUUCCGGUUGAUGAGG